GACGAACGCUGGCGGCGUGCUUAACACAUGCAAGUCGAACGGAAAGGCCCUGCUUUUGUGGGGUGCUCGAGUGGCGAACGGGUGAGUAACACGUGAGUAACCUGCCCUUGACUGUGGGAUAACUUCAGGAAACUGGGGCUAAUACCGGAUAGGAGCUCCUGCUGCAUGGUGGGGGUUGGAAAGUUUCGGCGGUGGGGGAUGGACUCGCGGCUUAUCAGCUUGUUGGUGGGGUAGUGGCUUACCCAGGCUUUGACGGGUAGCCGGCCUGAGAGGGUGACCGGCCACCUGGGAAGUUAGACACGCACAAUGGGACUGAGGGAGGGAGCAGUCUCGAACGGGAGGCAACGGGCGGAAAUAUGACACAACGGGGCGGAGUGUGUGACGACAGCCCCGCGUGCGGAAUGACGUCCUUCGGGUUAUAAACCGAUUUCGCCUGAGACGUAGCGUGAGUGACGGUACUGGGUAAAGAAGCACCGGCUAACUACGUA
rnacentral:rRNA from 1 species